AAACAAUGUGUUUGAAACUGCAACAAGCAGACCAAAUAAACUUGCUAAAACAAAAGCAUCUUGAUAAACUAUUACAAACCAAAAACUUGUAGUUGCAUAAAACAAGAUGGGAAAAUCCCUUUUGGAUGGCGUCGUUGUAAUAUCGAACCAAUCAACAUAAAACAACUACAAAGAAUGAAAAAAUCGACACAACAAAGUCUGUACCCAGUUCAUUAGCCAUGACUGUCAAUUAAAGCUGCAUUCCCAAACCAGGUCUGUACCCACUUCAUUACCCAAUACAAUGAUAACAUCUGUAUAAAAAUUUAGAACGUAUUAAUAAUUAUAUUGAACAAUGUUCAUAAAUUAAUGAAUUUGAUAAAGCAAAUGUAACACUACAUAAUUAUACCUAAAUGAACAACCUAGUUCAUUUUUUUGCUGGUUCGGAUGAUGAGCAACUGACAGUUUCUGAAAAAUAAAAAAGCAAAAUUUAAUGAACCAAAGAAAAAGAAAAGUCAUAUUUGGUGAAAUUUUGAACAUAUAAACAAUUAUAUUGAAUAGAGUUCAUAAUUUAUUGAACAAUAUUAAUAAUUUAAUGAACAAUAUUAAUAAUUUACUGAAUCUAAUGAAAAUAAUUGAAAUUGAAAUAAAGAAAAAUGCAUAGCCACAAAAAAAUUACCCUCAGAGAAAUUGGGCUGAGAAGACACUGCUCUCCAUGUUUGCCUGACAUUUUUUUUGCUUUUUGCGAUCAUUCACAUUUCCCCUUGCAUUUCUAGCAUCCAUAUUCAAUUCACAGCUAAAACCAUGCCAAAACUUGGGUUUCUGUCACAUAUUCUCUCAAAUUAAACUAUAACUCAAAUGGAGAAAACUUACAAAUAUUAAGAUAAUACAAGUAAUGUAAAUAAUAUGCCGCGAUUUCCAAACCUGGAAGUCCAGCAAGGGCUUCGAUUUUGCAUAAGUGUUUGUAGUUUCACGAAUUAGAAAGUUCAAUCUGCGAUAGCAUAUGAAAAUAAAAAUAUGUGUGAUCGUAAUAUAUAGGCACCAAUCCUUUGAUGGAGGAGGCAACCAUUCCUCUUCUUCUUCUUCCUUAUCAUCACAUUCUAUCACAUUCACAUCUUUCGAAUUAACAAUUCAAAAAUGCAAAAAAAUCUAUCAAUUGAUAAAAGAAAAAAGAAAAAAAUUACAAUCUUUCAUCAAGAAGAGAAACACUUACUGCAGGACCCGAGAAACCCAAAAACCAGCGUUUCAUCCAGGUCAUCUGCCAAUUCCCAAAAGUAAAGACACAAAAAAAUCCGAACCCAUAAAUUC
rnacentral:lncRNA from 1 species